AUUGAACGCUGGCGGCAGGCCUAACACAUGCAAGUCGAAUGGUAACAGGAAACAGCUUGCUGUUUCGCUGACGAGUGGCGGACGGGUGAGUAAUGUCUGGGAAACUGCCUGAUGGAGGGGGAUAACUACUGGAAACGGUAGCUAAUACCGCAUAACGUCGCAAGACCAAAGAGGGGGACCUUCGGGCCUCUUGCCAUCAGAUGUGCCCAGAUGGGAUUAGCUAGUAGGUGGAGUAACGGCUCACCUAGGCGACGAUCCCUAGCUGGUCUGAGAGGAUGACGAGCCACACUGGAACUGAGACACGGUCCAGACUCCUACGGGAGGCAGCAGUGGGGAAUAUUGCACAAUGGGCGGAAGCCUGAUGCAGCCAUGCCGCGUGUAUGAAGAAGGCCUUCGGGUUGUAAAGUACUUUCAGCGGGGAGGAAGGGAGUAAAGUUAAUACCUUUGCUCAUUGACGUUACCCGCAGAAGAAGCACCGGCUAACUCCGUG
rnacentral:rRNA from 1 species